rnacentral:rRNA from 1 species
GAUGAACGCUGGCGGCGUGCCUAAUACAUGCAAGUCGAGCGAACGGACGAGAAGCUUGCUUCUAUGAUGUUAGCGGCGGACGGGUGAGUAACACGUGGAUAACCUACCUAUAAGACUGGGAUAACUUCGGGAAACCGGAGCUAAUACCGGAUAAUAUUUUGAACCGCAUGGUUCAAAAGUGAAAGACGGUCUUGCUGUCACUUAUAGAUGGAUCCGCGCUGCAUUAGCUAGUUGGUAAGGUAACGGCUUACCAAGGCAACGAUGCAUAGCCGACCUGAGAGGGUGAUCGGCCACACUGGAGCUGAGACACGGUCCAGACUCCUACGGGAGGCAGCAGUAGGGAAUCUUCCGCAAUGGGCGAAAGCCUGACGGAGCAACGCCGCGUGAGUGAUGAAGGUCUUCGGAUCGUAAAACUCUGUUAUUAGGGAAGAACAUAUGUGUAAGUAACUGUGCACAUCUUGACGGUACCUAAUCAGAAAGCCACGGCUAACUACGU